rnacentral:rRNA from 1 species
CCUACGGGGGGCAGCAGUGGUGAAUAUUGGACAAUGGGGGCAACCCUGAUCCAGCCAUGCCGCGUGUGUGAAGAAGGCCCUCGGGUUGUAAAGCACUUUCAGUGAGGAAGAACGCCUGGUGGUUAAUACCCAUCAGGAAAGACAUCACUCACAGAAGAAGCACCGGCUAACUCCGUGCCAGCAGCCGCGGUAAUACGGAGGGUGCGAGCGUUAAUCGGAAUUACUGGGCGUAAAGCGCGCGUAGGUGGCUUGAUAAGCCGGUUGUGAAAGCCCCGGGCUCAACCUGGGAACGGCAUCCGGAACUGUCAAGCUAGAGUGCAGGAGAGGAAGGUAGAAUUCCCGGUGUAGCGGUGAAAUGCGUAGAGAUCGGGAGGAAUACCAGUGGCGAAGGCGGCCUUCUGGACUGACACUGACACUGAGGUGCGAAAGCGUGGGUAGCAAACAGGAUUAGAUACCCUGGUAGUC